GACGAACGCUGGCGGCGUGCCUAAUACAUGCAAGUAGGACGCAGUUGCGAACGGGUGAGUAACGCGUCGGUAACUGCCUAUUAGAGGGGGAUAACUAUUGGAAACGAUAGCUAAUACCGCAUACUAGUAGAUGGACCUGCGUUUUAUUGGCUAGUAGGUAGGGUAAUGGCCUACCUAGGCGACGAUACAUAGCCGACCUGGGAGGGUGAUCGGCCACAAUUGGAAUGGGAAACGGCCCAGAAGCCUACGGGGGGCAGGGGUAGGGAAUCUUCGGAAAUGGGGGGAACCCUGGACGAGCAACGCCGCGGGGGUGAAGAAGGGUUUCGGAUCGUAAAGCGCUGUUGUUAAGGAAGCGGUACUUAACAAGGAAGGGACGGCUAACUACGUGCCAGCAGCCGCGGUAAUAC
rnacentral:rRNA from 1 species